GACGAACGCUGGCGGCGUGCCUAAUACAUGCAAGUCGAACGAAGCUUUUUUAACUGGUGCUUGCACCGACUUAAACAACUGAGUGGCGAACGGGUGAGUAACACGUGGGUAACCUGCCCCAAAGCGGGGGAUAACAUUUGGAAACAGAUGCUAAUACCGCAUAACCACAGAAACAACAUGGUUUCUGUGUCAAAGAUGGUUUCGGCUAUCACUUUGGGAUGGCGCCGCGGCGUAUUAGCUAGUUGGUAAGGUAAUGGCUUACCAAGGCAAUGAUACGUAGCCGAACUGAGAGGUUGAUCGGCCACAUUGGGACUGAGACACGGCCCAAACUCCUACGGGAGGCAGCAGUAGGGAAUCUUCCACAAUGGACGAAAGUCUGAUGGAGCAACGCCGCGUGAGUGAAGAAGGUUUUCGGAUCGUAAAACUCUGUUGUCAGAGAAGAACGUGUGCGAGAGUAACUGUUAGUGCAGUGACGGUAUCUGGCCAGAAAGCCACGGCUAACUACGUGCCAGCCGCCGCCGUAA
rnacentral:rRNA from 1 species